GUAUUUCUACCGCAACUUCUUUUGUAUCCCAACCCAUCGGACCCAUUGAAUGGAGAGGCUGCGGCUCUAAUGAUGCGUGAUAAAGCUGCUUAUGAGCAAAGGGUUAAAGAAUACUGUGAAAAAUAUGCGAAACCUGAAGACGUUGGGAAUAACACGGAUGAGAAAUCAAGUGAUGAGGAAGAUGAGGCAAGUGACAAUGAUUAUGACUCCAGCGACGAGGGAAUGGCGGGUCAUGCAGAUCCUUAAUUUGCAUUAUUUAUGCAAUAAUUUACAUUUAGCCUUGUUUUUAUGCAUCUGUACAUGUCAAUGAUAUUUGUACUUUUCAGCAAAAAUCAAAAUCCAACUCCAAAAAAGAGUUGCAGUAGGAGGACCCUUCUGUGGUGUAAUAUUCCCGUGGGACUCCUACUCUUAUCUUAUCUUAUCUUAUCUUCCUUUUUCCUUUUCUUACCCUUUCGGUGACAAUGUAAAUAAAUAACUUAAUAAUUAUGAGUUUCAUGUUUAAGAUA